rnacentral:sRNA from 1 species
CCAUCUCAUCCUCUCUCUCCAUCUCUUCCUCUCUCUCUGUGUUUUUCCCCAAUAGAUUUUUACAGAUUCCAUUUGACAAGCAAAACUAAAUGGAAAUUUUUCUAAAUCAAAUUUACGUUGUAGCAUUUUUUCUAUACGAGGAUUUUGUCGGUUUUUUUUGGGUUAGUCAUGGCUUGCGGAGCAAAACAACAGAUUUUAAUCACCUUAAUUAGUUUACGGUUGCGAUUUCGCAAAAACGAAACAAAGUGAAACCGAAAAAUGUAGACCAAAAAUAAGGGCGAAAAAAGAAACUUCCGAGAAGUCGGGGAUUCGAAUACUCUUUGUUUUGGGUUUCUGCCAUUCGUUUUUAUGAGCUAUUUGGAACCUUUAUCCAACUUUUCCUUAAAAUUGUGGACGCUAUUCCGAUGACAUCUGUAUGGAUCUUGGACACCUAUGGAACCAUUUGAAUGGGAAUGCGAAUCGGUGGGUCGGAGGGUUGAAUGGUUUGAGGG